GUAAUAGUUAAGAUCUUGAAACUUAAAAAAUUUGGCGGUAUUUUAGUCUUUUCAGAGGAAUUUGUCCUAUAAUUGAUAAUCCACGUUGGACCUUACUUAAUUUUGUUAACAGUUUAUAUACCGUCGUUAUCAGAAUAUUUUAAAAGAAAAAUAAUUUUCAUUAAUUUUAAUAAAAUUUUAUUUCAGAUCAAGGUGUAGCUUAUAUUUAAGAAGUGAUGAAUUACAAUAAAAUUAUUUAGAUGAAUAUAAAUAUGAAAAAUUUAUUGAAAUUGGAUUUGAUAGUAAAUUUAUAAAGAU
rnacentral:rRNA from 1 species